rnacentral:rRNA from 1 species
GGAUUUUACUGUCUCCUUUCUCCUAUCGGUGAAACUGAUCUUCCCGUGAAGAAGCGGGAAUAAACCUAUAAGACGAGAAGACCCCAUGGAGCUUUAAACCCAGAGACAUCUCAAACCCUCCACCCCCCAAAAGUUUUUAUGCAUUGUCCCCUGGUUUUAGGUUGGGGUGACCGCGGAGCACAACUUAACCUCCACAGCGUACGGAGCUUCCUCCUUAUCCAAGAGCCACAUCUCAAAGAAUUUGUAUAUGAACGUAAAAUGACCCAAUAAUUUUGAUCAAUGAACCAAGUUACCCUGGGGAUAACAGCGCAAUCCAUUUCUAGAGCCCUUAUCGACAAAUGGGUUUACGACCUCGAUGUUGGAUCAGGGCAUCCCAGUGGUGCAGCCGCUACUAAUGGUU